GAAUUCGAUUCAGGCCUAACACAUGCAAGUCGAGGGGUAGAACACUUCGGUGUUUGAGACCGGCGCACGGGUGCGUAACGCGUAUGCAAUCUACCUUGUACAGGGGAAUAGCCCAGAGAAAUUUGGAUUAAUGCCCCAUAGUAUAUAACCUUCGCAUGUUGGUUAUAUUAAAGUUCCAACGGUACAAGAUGAGCAUGCGUCCCAUUAGUUAGUUGGUAAGGUAACGGCUUACCAAGACGAUGAUGGGUAGGGGUCCUGAGAGGGAGAUCCCCCACACUGGUACUGAGACACGGACCAGACUCCUACGGGAGGCAGCAGUGAGGAAUAUUGGUCAAUGGUCGCAAGACUGAACCAGCCAUGCCGCGUGCAGGAAGACGGUCCUAUGGAUUGUAAAGGGCUUUUAUACAGGAAGAAACCCUCCCACGUGUGGGAGCUGAC
rnacentral:rRNA from 1 species